CUUAUAAAAAUGAAGCAAUGUUGUCUUGAAGGCACUUCUGUCCUUUCUGCUGUGGUUCACACAACUCUGGACCAACGGAUAAUAAAGAACUUGAGACAGAUGAUGAAGGCUGCAAUGGGGCAGUGAAACUACAGCGGUCAUUCAGAUUUUCUAGGAGUGCUAUAGAAAGUAGGAUCAACCCAUAACUAGACAUAUCUUUAGAAGAUGAGAGUCAUCGUUCCAUUACUGUUAUCUUUAUUUUUCACUGUGGGUGUUUCUCAUUUCCUCGAUCCUCAAAUUCCAUAUGAGAACUAUGAAACUUAUGCAAAUGCAUAUCUGAACUGGGUAAAAUAUUUGUAUCCCAACUCGAUUGGCUCAGUUGACACACAACCAUAUUAUUUUGUUCCGUUUUAUUAUAACCCAACGAGACCAGGUGCAGAAGUUCCAGUAGAUGAAGGAAGUGGUGGUGGCCCACCAGCAGAUAUUGAACCGAGAAGAAAGAGAAGCAUACUAUUAAGAAUGAUUAAGAAGUAAUAGUUCACAAAGACAACUAUUUACACGAUAUGGGAAAGGUUGAAUCAGAGCAUGAAAAUGGCAUGGGAAUUAAGAGUUAAUUCAGCUUGUAUAGGGCUUCAAAGCUCUUUGUUUUGUAUAACCACACCCCAUCUUAUCCCCAAUACUGCAAAUACUUAAAAGAUAACUCAGGAUACCCAAAGAAAUGAUACAAAUCUGAACUUGAGGUGCAGUGUAAUUAUUCAUUGUUCCUGUUUUAAUCUGCUUUAUGGAAAAUAAGACAUGCUGAUGUUCUGCUUGCUUCUCUUUCUGUUUUUCUUUUGCCACACUCCACUAAAUCAAAAAUAUGUAGGCUUCUUUAAUGGCUAUUUUCUUCUUGCAUAUGAUAAACGAUUUAUGCAAUCA